rnacentral:lncRNA from 1 species
UCUGUUUCUCCCUUCUGUCCGCUUCAUCGCUUCUGCUGGUGCUUCUGCUACCACUCUCCUCCCCUCAUCCUCAUCUCUCUCUCUCUCUCUCUCUCUCCUCCUGUCAUCCCCCUCUCUCUCUCCCUCUCUCUCUCUCUCUCUCUCUCUCUCUCUCCUCCCCUCAUCCUCAUCUCUCUCUCUCUCUCUCUCUCCUUCUGUCAUCCCCCUCUCUCUCUCUCUCUCUCCUCCCCUCAUCCUCAUCUCUCUCUCUCUCUCUCUCUCUCUCUCCUCCUGUCAUCCCCCUCUCUCUCUCCCUCUCUGUCUCUCUCUCUCUCUCUCUCUCUCCUCCUCUCAUCCCCUCUCUCUUUUUUUAUCCUCUCAUCCCUCUCGCUCUCUCUCUCCACCGCUCAUCCCUCUCUCUCCCUCUCUCUCUCUCUCUGAAAUGGCACAGACUCCUUGUCUUAAUCAUGUGAAACUUUUCAGACACUUCUUCCCCCUCCAAGCCCUCUCUUCAGUGGCCACUCUUUCAAUCAUCUUUCUUUUAAGCCAGGGUUAGGCUCAGUCUCUUAUUAGACGCCUAUAUGUGCCUAUUUGCACUCAGGCUCUUAUUAGACACCUACGUAUAUGUGCCUAUCUGCUCUCAGUCUCUUAUUAGACACCUACGUAUAUGUGCCUAUUUGCACUCAGUCUCUUAUUAGACGCCUAUAUGUGCCUAUUUGCACUCAGUCUCUUAUUAGACGCCUAUAUGUGCCUAUUUGCACUCAGGCUCUUAUUAGACGCCUAUAUGUGCAUAUCUGCUCUCAGUCUCUUAUUAGACACCUACGUAUAUGUGCCUAUUUGCACUCAGUCUCUUAGACACCUAUAUGUGCCUAUUUGCACUCAGGCUCUUAUUAGACGCCUUUAUGUGCCUAUUUGCACUCAGUCUCUUAUUAGACGCCUAUAUGUGCCUAUUUGCACUCAGUCUCUUAUUAGACGCCUAUAUGUGCCUAUUUGCAAUCAGUCUCUUAUUAGACGCCUAUAUGUGCCUAUUUGUACUCAGGCUCUUAUUAGACGCCUAUAUGUGUCUGGCUGCCGCAUCUCCAUUUGCCAACGUAACAAAUGCAGUCCUGUUGAGUUGCCUCUGACUAAUUCCCUCAAGGGAUGAAACGCCGCCCCACUUUUCACAGCCUGUUUGGAGUGCUAAAGCAUUUUGGUGGACUGAGAUGGGCCACAGGGGUAUACACACACACACACAGAAAUUCACAUACACACACACACC